ACCUGGCUAGCUUAGUUGGUAGAGCAUGUGACUCUUGAUCUUGGGGUUAUGAGUUCAAGCCCCGUGUUGGGAA
rnacentral:tRNA from 1 species